rnacentral:rRNA from 1 species
CGCGUGCACUGGUCCGGCCGGGCCUUUCCCUCUGGGGAACCGCAUGUCAUUCACUUGGUGUGUCGGGGAACCAGGACUUUUACUUUGAAAAAAUUAGAGUGUUCAAAGCAGGCCUAUGCUCGAAUACAUUAGCAUGGAAUAAUAGAAUAGGACGUGUGGUUCUAUUUUGUUGGUUUCUAGGACCGCCGUAAUGAUUAAUAGGGACAGUCGGGGGCAUCAGUAUUCAAUUGUCAGAGGUGAAAUUCUUGGAUUUAUUGAAGACUAACUACUGCGAAAGCAUUUGCCAAGGAUGUUUUCAUUAAUCAGGAACGAAAGUUAGGGGAUCGAAGACGAUCAGAUACCGUCGUAGUCUUAACCAUAAACUAUGCCGACUAGGGAUCGGACGAUGUUAUUUUUUGACUCGUUCGGCACCUUACACGAAAGUACAAGUUUCUGGGUUCUGGGGGGAGUAUGGUCGCAAGGCUGAAACUUAAAGAAAUUGACGGAAGGGCACCACCAGGGGUGGAGCCUGCGGCUUAAUUUGACUCAACACGGGGAAACUCACCAGGUCCAGACACGAUGAGGAUUGACAGAUUGAGAGCUCUUUCUUGAUUUCGUGGGUGGUGGUGCAUGGCCGUUCUUAGUUGGUGGAGUGAUUUGUCUGCUUAAUUGCGAUAACGAACGAGACCUUAACCUGCUAAAUAGCCCGUAUUGCUUUGGCAGUACGCUGGCUUCUUAGAGGGACUAUCGG